ensembl:lncRNA
GUGAUGGUGUGUAGUGGUAGUGUGUGGUGAUGGUGUGUAGUGGUAGUGUGUGGUGAUGGUGUGUAGUUGUAGUGUGUGUGUCUGGUGAUGGUGUGUAGUGGUAGUGUGUGGUGAUGGUGUGUAGUUGUAGUGUGUGCUGAUGGUGUGUAGUGGAAGUGUGUGGUGAUUGUGUGUAGUGGUAGUGUGUGUGUGUGUUGAUGGUGUGUAGUGGUAGUGUGUGUGUGUGUGUGUGUGUGGUGAUGGUGUGUAGUGGUAGUGUGUGGUGAUGGUGUGUAGUGUGUGUAUGUGUGUGGUGAUGGUGUGUAGUGGUAGUGUGUGGUGAUGGUGUGUAUGGUGUGGUAGUGUGUGGUGAUGGUGUGUAGUG